CCUACGGGUGGCAGCAGUAGGGAAUCUUCCACAAUGGGCGAAAGCCUGAUGCAGCAACGCCGCGUGGGUGAAGAAGGUCUUCGGAUCGUAAAACCCUGUUGUUAGAGAAGAAAGUGCGUGAGAGUAACUGUUCACGUUUCGACGGUAUCUAACCAGAAAGCCCCGGCUAACUACGUGCCAGCAGCCGCGGUAAUACGUAGGUGGCAAGCGUUAUCCGGAUUUAUUGGGCGUAAAGGGAACGCAGGCGGUCUUUUAAGUCUGAUGUGAAAGCCGUCGGCUUAACCGGAGUAGUGCAUUGGAAACUGGGAAACUUGAGUGCAGGAGAGGAGAGUGGAAUUCCAGGUGUAGCGGUGAAAUGCGUAGAUAUAUGGAAGAACACCAGUGGCGAAGGCGGCUCUCUGGUCUGUAACUGACGCUGAGGUUCGAAAGCGUGGGUAGCAAACAGGAUUAGAUACCCGUGUAGUC
rnacentral:rRNA from 1 species